rnacentral:rRNA from 1 species
UACGACGGGUGCAAGUGUUGUUCGGAAUUACUGGGCGUAAAGCGUGCGUAGGCGGUUUGAUAAGUUGGAAGUGAAAUCCCGGGGCUUAACUCCGGAAUUGCUUUCAAAACUGUCAAGCUAGAAUAUGGUAGGGGACAGUGGAAUUCCUAGUGUAGAGGUGAAAUUCGUAGAUAUUAGGAGGAACACCAGUGGCGAAAGCGACUGUCUGGACCAUUAUUGACGCUGAGGCACGAAAGCGUGGGGAGCAAACAGG